GUUUCAUUAUUAUGUGCAAUUCAGAACAUAAGCAUUAAUAUUGCUCCCUGCAUCCUUGCUGAUUCAUCAAACUGAGAAGCAUUAUCCUUGCCUAUUGUUGAAUUAAUAAACCCUAACAUGCAAAAAACAUCCCAAUCCACAGACUCUUCUUUUGGUCAAAGUGGUAAACUGUAACAAGACCACCUUCA